GAGUUUGAUCGUGGCUCAGGAUGAACGCUGGCGGCGUGCUUAACACAUGCAAGUCGAACGGAGAGCUCAUGACAGAGGAUUCGUCCAAUGGAUUGAGUUUCUUAGUGGCGGACGGGUGAGUAACGCGUGAGGAACCUGCCUCGGAGUGGGGAAUAACAGUCCGAAAGGACUGCUAAUACCGCAUAAUGCAGUUGUGUCGCAUGACACUGACUGCCAAAGAUUUAUCGCUCUGAGAUGGCCUCGCGUCUGAUUAGCUAGUUGGCGGGGUAAC
rnacentral:rRNA from 1 species